rnacentral:rRNA from 1 species
GACGAACGCUGGCGGCGUGCUUAACACAUGCAAGUCGAGCGGUAAGGCCUUUCGGGGUACACGAGCGGCGAACGGGUGAGUAACACGUGGGUGACCUGCCUUUAGCUUCGGGAUAAGCCUGGGAAACUAGGGCUAACACCGGAUGAGCCCCGAGUUCCGCGAGGGAGUUGGGGGAAAGUUUACGCCGAAGGAGGAGCCCGCGUCCGAUUAGCUAGUUGGUGAGGUAAGAGCUCACCAAGGCUUCGAUCGGUAGCNGGUCUGAGAGGACGAUCAGCCACACUGGGACUGAGACACGGCCCAGACUCCUACGGGAGCA